AUGGGAGCUUGCUCCCUGAUGUUAGCGGCGGACGGGUGAGUAACACGUGGGUAACCUGCCUGUAAGACUGGGAUAACUCCGGGAAACCGGGGCUAAUACCGGAUGGUUGUUUGAACCGCAUGGUUCAGACAUAAAAGGUGGCUUCGGCUACCACUUACAGAUGGACCCGCGGCGCAUUAGCUAGUUGGUGAGGUAACGGCUCACCAAGGCGACGAUGCGUAGCCGACCUGAGAGGGUGAUCGGCCACACUGGGACUGAGACACGGCCCAGACUCCUACGGGAGGCAGCAGUAGGGAAUCUUCCGCAAUGGACGAAAGUCUGACGGAGCAACGCCGCGUGAGUGAUGAAGGUUUUCGGAUCGUAAAGCUCUGUUGUUAGGGAAGAACAAGUGCCGUUCAAAUAGGGCGGCACCUUGACGGUACCUAACCAGAAAGCCACGGCUAACUACGUGCCAGCAGCCGCGGUAAUACGUAGGUGGCAAGCGUUGUCCGGAAUUAUUGGGCGUAAAGGGCUCGCAGGCGGUUUCUUAAGUCUGAUGUGAAAGCCCCCGGCUCAACCGGGGAGGGUCAUUGGAAACUGGGGAACUUGAGUGCAGAAGAGGAGAGUGGAAUUCCACGUGUAGCGGUGAAAUGCGUAGAGAUGUGGAGGAACACCAGUGGCGAAGGCGACUCUCUGGUCUGUAACUGACGCUGAGGAGCGAAAGCGUGGGGAGCGAACAGGAUUAGAUACCCUGGUAGUCCACGCCGUAAACGAUGAGUGCUAAGUGUUAGGGGGUUUCCGCCCCUUAGUGCUGCAGCUAACGCAUUAAGCACUCCGCCUGGGGAGUACGGUCGCAAGACUGAAACUCAAAGGAAUUGAC
rnacentral:rRNA from 1 species